rnacentral:rRNA from 1 species
UACGUAGGGUGCGAGCGUUGUUCGGAAUUACUGGGCGUAAAGCGCGCGUAGGCGGUUUUGCAAGCCAGAGGUGAAAUGCCUGAGCUCAACUUAGGAAUUGCCUUUGGGACUGUGAGACUUCGAGGACUGGAGAGGUGAGUGGAAUUCCCAGUGUAGAGGUGAAAUUCGUAGAUAUUGGGAAGAACACCGGUGGCGAAGGCGGCUCACUGGCCAGUUUCUGACGCUGUAGCGCGAAAGCGUGGGGAUCAAACAGG